rnacentral:rRNA from 1 species
UACGUAGGGUGCGAGCGUUGUCCGGAAUUAUUGGGCGUAAAGAGCUUGUAGGCGGUUUGUCGCGUCUGCUGUGAAAAUCCGGGGCUCAACCCCGGACUUGCAGUGGGUACGGGCAGACUAGAGUGUGGUAGGGGAGACUGGAAUUCCUGGUGUAGCGGUGAAAUGCGCAGAUAUCAGGAAGAACACCAGCGGCGAAGGCGGCACUCUGGGCUGGAAUUGACGCUGAGGAGCGAAAGUGUGGGUAGCAAACAGGG